ensembl:lncRNA
UGGCUGCAGCAUUCAGGUGUGCAGGAGCGGUGGGGAAGCCACGAACGAGAGAGCUGCAGGUCUGUUUUCAGCUAUUUUCGCUAUUUUAAUUGUAAUACUUGUUUUAAACUCACCGGUUUAAAUGUUAACUCUUAGGAGCCCCUUAUCGUAGCCAAAUCAGAGACGGACGACGGAGUGAGAGAGUAGAUGCAAAUCGUGGAACUGGCCAGGUCCUUGAUUGAUGGCGAGCUUAAUGGAGCCCUGAACCUAAAGCAAAGCAACUGCUGAAGAAUCGAGUCGCACCUCUCCUGCCAGGCUGACAUUCUUCCACGUCCUGACCUGUGUGGAGCGCUACCUGGCUGUGGUUCA